AAUUUUAGUCUCUGUGGCUUUUUUUAUUUUUUCCAUCCAUGAGAAUCUUGGCUCUUCUUCCCAUGUUGGGGUUAAUUAGAAAACAAGAACAGUUGGCUGGAAAUAGAGAAGGAAGCAAAGAACAAGAUCAGAUGUUCUGUCUUUUUUCCCCCAGUGAUAUUUCACAAGGAAAAGGAAGCUGAAGAAAAAUAAGCCCAGACUUCAGAAGCGUUUGUCAGACCAUGGGACCGGAAGCUACUGUUUGUGCUUUAUUCUUGUGUCACCGGGAGCCUUGGCUGCUGGAGCCAGAAACUCCAAGUCAGAUUUGUUGGGCUUCUGGUCAGAGGAGUGACAGGGAGAAAAGAAGGAGAGAAGGAAGGAGAGACGGAGGUAGGGAGGAAUGGAAGGCAACAUCUCUCAGGACUGCCAAUGAGCUACCCUCAAACAAAUUUGAAUUACCUGCACCUGCUAGGAUUGCAGAUCGCACUUUAAGAGUUCCUCGCAAGGAGGGCAAAGAGGGACAAGGUCGUUGCCUGCCAUCAGGAUGAGCCAGAAGCCCGAGUCCCUCGGGAAUUCAGACGGAGCCUCUGCUGUCUUCAGCGAUCUGCACCAGGGACGGGGAGCGGGUAUUUGAAAGGAAUUGAUUCUCAAAAUCCCAGCAUCUGAAAAUGUUUCCAGUACCUGCCAUAGAAGUGCACAGUACAUGGGUGAGGUUCUCUGUACAACAGGAAGCUCAACCAUCCACAAAGAGCAUGAAAAUAAAAUCUGGAAGGACAACGUGUUCCCGGGGAACGAUGGGUAGGGGCGACUGUCAUACCCCAGUCUGUCUGAACCAUUAUUACAGAGUUGGGAGUACAAGCCAUCGCUUUUUAUUUAAUUAUGUCUAAACAUAAGCAAAUGUAUAAGUAACACU
rnacentral:lncRNA from 1 species